rnacentral:lncRNA from 1 species
GAAGUAGAAGAUAUGCAAAUGGAUGCACUAUGUUUCAAAUCUCUUAUUGAGCAAGUAAAGACUCAUCGUAGUCAAGAAGGAUUAUACUUAUAUUGUAAAAAACCUAAGCAUACUACUCAAUAUUGUCCAAAGAAGCAACGUAACUAUAAAAUAAAGAAUACGGCUAUCAAAGAAGAUAGUAUAUUAAAAAACAAGUUUCUCCAGUUAUAAUAGGCACCGUGCCACUGGAACCUUGUACAAUACCUAGUAAAGAUCCUAUUCUCUCCUCAGAACCCUCUCCUUGUUUUACGAUAAAUAUUAUUAUAGGACCUAAACAUCACAAAGUCCUUGCCUUGUUAGAUUCAAGAGCCUCAGCAUGUUUUUUAGAUGAAGAAUUUGCUAAAAGACAUAGCAUACUUUUAGUGAAGAAAACUAAAUUUGUUCAUGUAGAAGUCAUAACUAGUCGUUUGUAAUCUUCAAAAGAUAUUAUUCAUGAAAUCCUUCCUAUUGAAGUAGCAACUAAUGGUCAUAGUAGCUUUGUAAUAUUUAAUAUCAUUAGAUUUCCCUCUAAUCUAAUCAUUUUAUGUUUAUCAUGGCUAGGAAAAUAUAAUCUUAAAAUAGAUUGGACUUCUCAUAGUCUUGGCUUUUUUGAAAGUAUAACUAAGAGCAUAGUUAAUCAAGUAGAAAGUCAUAAGUCUAAUACAAUUAAACAUAUAUUUGUAAGUGCAAGAGCUUUUUUGUAUGGUGCAAAAAAAAUAUCACCUUGUAUCAUUUAUGCCGCACUUGUUUCUACUGAUAAAAAGACUUCAAGUAGCAUUUCAAGCCAAUAUCAAGAUUUUUAAGAUCUAUUUGAGAAGAAGAAUGCAGAUAUUCAUUUAGAAAAUCAUUCCUAUGAUUGCUCAAUUGACCCUCAAGAAAGAACAUAACCCCCAUUUGGACCAAUCUACAAUUUAUCACAAAAUGAGUUUGCUAAAUUCAAAGAAUAUAUUGAAGAGAAUUUGACUAAGAACUUCAUACGCCAUUCCAAAUCUCCAACAGGAGCUCCAAUUUUAUUUGUGAAGAAAAAAGAUGAAACAUUACGGAUGUGUGUCGAUUAUCAAGGACUCAACAAAAUCACCAUCAAAAACAUAUAUCCACUAUCUUUAAUAUAUGGACUCCUUGUUCAAUUGAAUCAAGCUAAGAUCUAUAAAAGAAUAGAUCUACAAAGAGCAUACAAUGUAGUAUGUAUCAAACAAAGAGAUGAAUAGAAGACUACAUUUCGAAUAAGGUAUGGACAUUUUAAAUACAACGUCAUGCCUUUUGGACUUGCAAAUAUACUAGCAGCAUUCCAACAUCUAAUGAGUGAUGUCUUUUGGGAGUUUUUAGAUAAUUUUGUUAUUAAUUACCUUGACAAUAUCUUAAUCUAUUUUAAGAACAUAAAAGAACAUGAACUUUAUGUUUGUUGAGUGUAACAAAAACUAAGAGUUGCGAGAUUCUAUGCUAAAAUAAAAAAAAAAAGUAUGUAUUUCAUAAUAUUGAAGUCAACUUUUUAGGAUACAUCAUUUCAAAUGAUGGACUUAUAAUGGAUCCUAAGAAAAUUCAAGCUAUUAUGGAUUAGAAGAUCCCAAAAAAGUUAAGAGAUGUCUAAUACUUUUUGAGAUUUAUCAACUACUAUCGGAACUUCAUGAAAGACUUCUUUCAAGUUGCAGUUCUACUUACACAUUUGACUUGUAAAGACAAACUUCAAUGGAAUCCAGAAGCGGAAGUAGCAUUUGAAGCUUUGAACAUAGCCUUUAUUUUUGUACCAAUCUUAUAUUUUAUCGAUUUUUUUAAGCCAUUUUUUUAUAGAAAUAGAUGCAUCAGACUUUGCUUUGGGUGUUGUAUUGUUAAAAAUGAGAACAAAUGAUAAACUUCAUCUAGUAGCUUUUUAUUCUGAAAAAAUUUCAACAGUCAAGAUUAACUAGGAAAUCCACAACAAAGAACUUCUUGCAAUCAUGGAUUUGUUUCAAGAAUGGUGCCAUUAUAUAAAAGAUGCUUCUAGUCAAGUCACCAUAUAUACAAAUCAUAAGAAUCUUGAAUAUUUUAUGUCAAUAUGUGUUUUGAAUUGUCACCAAGCCCAUUAGAGUAUGUCUUUGUCAAAAUUCAAAUUGAAGAUCACUUAUCGAUCGGAAAAACAACAAGGUUUGUCAAAUGCACUCUUUAGACAAUCUUAUUUUAUACCAAAGGAAGGAGAUGCAACUUUUGAUCAGCAACAGACAAUUCUCUUGAAGUUAGAGCAUUUUUAUCUUCGAGCAAUGAAAUCAACACUAACUAUUGAUUCAACUUUCAUUAAGCAAGUUCAAUCAAGUAUGUUUUUUCAUCCUCUUAUUUGUGAUAUUAAGGAAAAUCCUUCAAAGUCUCAAGAUACUUCCAAGUUUGAAUUGAAGGACAAUCUACUAUUUUUCGAGAGCCACCUAUAUGUUCAAGAAGGUGAAGCUCGAUUACGUAUUCUUCAAGCACGUCAUGACUUUCAAGUAGUAGGACAUUUUGGGUACAAUAAAACUUUAGAACUAAUAUCUAGGAACUUUUGGUGGCUUCAAAUGUGAAAGGCAGUCAAAGAUUUUGUAUAAUCUUAUGAUGUUGCUCAAGAUCAAAAACUCCUCGUCAUCGAUCUUACGGACUUUUUCAGCCAUUACCCAUUCCAGAACAAUAAUAGUCUUCUAUUUCUAUGGAUUUCAUCACAGAUCUUUUAAUCUUAGGUUUUUAUGACUCUAUAUUCGUGAUAAUAGAUUGUUUUACCAAGAUGGCAUAUUUUGUAUUAUGUACAAAAUCUAUCAUAGGUGAAGAAACAGCUAAGCUCUUUCUUGACAAUAUCUAUCGCUAUCGUGGAUUAUCCAAGGAUAUUAUAUCAGAUAGGGGAGCUCAGUUUGUAUCAAGAUUUUGAUGGACUCUUUUCAAGAUUCUAAGAAUUGAUAUAAAACUAUCUUCGGUAUUCCAUCUUCAAAUUGAUGGACAAAUGUAGCGUGUUAAUCAAGUUUUGGAGUAAUAUUUAAGAUCUACCAUCAACUACCAAUAAGAUGAUUGGACAACUCUUUUGCCAUUGGCAAAGUUUGCUUAUAAUAAUACGUUACAUUCUUCUACAAAACAAACACCUUUCUUUGCCAAUUAUGGUUAUCAUCCACGACUUGAUACUUUUAACUUUUCAAAAGUUGAUAAUCCUAUGGUUAAAGAUUUGGCAAACUAUUUGUCAGAGCUACAUGCAACAAUGAAGGCGCAGCUAAAAUAUGCUCAAGAACAACAAAAGAAUAAUGUAGAUGUCUAUGGAAAGGAAUAACUAUCAUUCUACAUGAAUAACAAGGAAUGGUUACUUCAUCGUAAUAUCAAGACCACUUGUCUUUAUGACAAGUUAAACUAUCGUAGGCUUAGACCAUUUUUUAUUUUUGUACAAAUCAAUCUAGUUGCAUAUCGUUUACACCUACCAAAGUCAAUGAAAAUCCAUCUACUAUUCCACAUGUCUCUUCUUGUAUCAUACAAGACAGUAGACAUACCAAGAAGAAGACAGGUUCCAUCUCUUCCUAUACAAGUGGAUAUUAAUAAAGAAUUCUAAGUAGAAGAAGUCCUAGAUUUAAGGCAACACCAAAGUAAUUUAAAAUAUCUUGUCAAUUGGCAUAGAUAUGAUAAUAAUGAACACACAUGGAAGCAAGUAAAGAAUCUUACAAAUACAAAAAAGGUGGUUGAGGCUUUUCAUCAAUGACAUCCAUCAAAAUCAAGAUGAAAACCUUCCUUAUAAAAGAAACAAGAUCUAAGUAAGUUAACAUUUUACUUUCAAUCCUUGUUUGUAGCUUCUUUGUAGUUGUGAUACUGAGGAAUUAGAGAACUAACAACCAGCAGAUUUGACUCAAGAGCCUUCAUUUAUUGACCUAUCGAAUAAGACAUUAUGAUUGUCAUAACCUUUAAGACGAUGCAAUCAAGAUGAAGAUCCUCAAGAAUGACAUGUUUUCCUUCAAAUAGAUAGCAAGAUACAAUGCAUUUGGUAUCACGACCUUUAAAGAAACUUCCAAUGUAUGGUGAUUUUACUAGAAGUAAGGACAACUUCUAGUAGUGUUCAAAAUGUUUUAUUUGAAGGAAGUUAUGAAGGCCUCAACAACAAUCAAAUAAUUGGGUGGUCUUUUUGCCUUAGUAUAAGACACUAUCGUUCGUUGAGAGAUCCUAUUAAUCAGCUUUGAAGAAAACAAAGAUCAAAGUAUGUAGCAAAUAUAAUUUGUCCCAUCUUAAACAUCCUGGACUUGUAGAACUCGUCCCUAGAAUGGCAGAUAAUGUCACAGACAUAUAUUUACUAUACUUAUUAUCUAUGUGAUAUGAAUAGAUAGAAGUAUGCUAAAAUAUAUUAAUUUCUUAACAUCUUCUAGAGAAGCUUCAUAGAAGCUUCAUAGAUGCUACUUUGACUUUACAUGUCUUUAUACUUGAUUGAUAGGUUAGAACCUUGUUCAACAAGAUAACCACAUACCACACAUAUUGGUAGCUUGUGGAACAAGCUAACAAUGUCUUGCCCAUAUAGAAAACUUGCCUUCCUAAUUAAGAUAUGUGUUGUGCAAAUUCAACACAUUUUUGGAGGUCCUAUAGAAUGUCACAACAUAGCUCUUAGAUAGAUAGUAUAUAUAGAGGCAAGAGUGAAGCCUUCUUCACUCUUGUCGACUCCUUUCUUGCUUCUAGUCUAGUUUCAAGGGUCUUUAGUUUUCUUGUCUUUUGGCAAUAACCAUUCUAGUUUCUUUCUUAAUACACAUAUUUAGUUAUUUUUAUUUUUUCAUCUUGCUUUGAGAAAAGUCUCACUUGUUUAUUUAUUCUUAUCAAGUUCUUAUCCUUGACCAACCACCACUAUAAAUCCUAGCCACCACCUUAGUCACUUUCCUAUUACCUUUUGCUACCCUUUCACUAUUAGCAACUUAUGUUAGGUAAUAUCUUUUAUUUGUCCAAUAUUUAUUUUAUCAGAGGACUUUAUGCCAAGAUAAAAAAGUAUGUAUUUCUCACUAUUUAAGUUGACUUUUUAGGUUACAUCAUUUCAAACGAUUGACUUAUGUUAGAUUCUAAGAAAAUUCAAACUAUUAUGGAUUAGAAGAUCUCAAAAUCAGUCCGAGAUGUCCAAUAUUUUUUGAAAUUUGCUAAUUACUAUCAGAUUUUUAUCAAGGACUUCUCUCAAAUUGUACCUCCAUUUACACAUUUGACUUAUAAAGACAAACUUCAAUAGAAUCAAGAAGCAGAAGCAGUAUUUGAAGCUUUAAGGACAAUCUUUAUUUUUGCACCAAUCUUAUAUUGUGUUGACUUUUCUAAGGCAUUUUUUAUGGAAAUAGAUGCAUUGGACUUUGCUUUGGAUGUCUUAUUAUUACAAAUGGGAAUAGAUGAUAAACUUCAGCCAACAGCUUUUCAUUUCAAGAAAUUUUCAAAAGCUGGGAUUAUGUCACGGACAUACAUAUAAUUACCUAUAUGAAUAGAUAAAAGUAUGUAAAAGUAGGUUAAUUGUGUAAUAUCUUCUAGAGAAGCUUCUUAGAAGCUUCAUAGACGCUGCUUUGACUUUAUAGGAGUCUAUAGUUGACUUUUAGGUUAGAAACUUGGUCAACAAGUUAGCCAUGUGCCACGCAUGUUGGAAGCUUAAAGAACAAGCUAACUACGUGGUCCAUCCAUAGAAAACUUGCCUUGCAAGCAAAGGCAUGUGGCCUAGAAAGUCAACAUAUAUUGGAGGUCUUAUAGAACAUCGCCACGUGGCUUCUAGUUAGAUAGUAUAUAUAGAGGCAAGAGUGAAGCCCUCUUCACUCUUGUCAACUCCUUUCUUGCUUCUAGUCUAGUUUCAAGGGUCUCUAGUUUUCUUGUAUUUUGGCAAUAGCCAUUCCAGUUUCUUUCUUAAUAUACAUAUUUCUAUUUUGUCCUAUUUCUUUUUGAGAAAAGUCUCACUUAUUCUUUAGCUUUCAUCGAGUUCUUGUCCUUGACAGAUUGACAAGAGUACACUUACAAUAUCAGAGCUUUGUCUUUUCUUGAUUAAGAGUGGAUUACCCCUUUUUCUUGAUAAGACAUAAGCGCAUUAGAAGUUGCGGAUUACCCUCUUUUAAACUGAUAUUGUUCUUAGUAUUUUCUUUGUUAUCAAUUCCUCUCUUCUAUUUGUUUUGAGCGUUAUUAGACAUCUUCUCUUUUCUAAGUGCUACUAUGGCAGAGCUUGAUGAAAUGAAGAGUGCAAUGGCACAGAUGCAAGAACAAUUGAGGGAGUUAAUGCUUGCGAUGCAUCAACUCAAUUUACCACCACAAGGAGCAACAAGAAUGGUAGGAAGUGAAGAUAUAGAGAUGAUUGGGGCUGCUUCGACAUCUGCACCAAAUCAUGUCCCUUCUCCCAGAAUGGAACACCCUUCGAGUGUUAGAGAACCGAGAGUUGCCUUGCCCGAGAAGUUUGAUGGUACCAGAUCCAAGUUUCGAGGAUUCAUCAAUCAGGUCCAACUAGUGAUUGAACUUCAACCCCAGAGCUAUCCAACUCCAGGGUCACAAGUUAGAUUCAUUGGUACACUUCUUUCAGGUUCAGCAUUGUCAUGGUUUUCAUCUUUUCUUGAACGACGAGAUCCAAUAUUGGAUAAUCUGGAGGCUUUUUUGGCGGAGUUUCGAUCCAUGUUUGGAGAACAUGAUGCAAUUCGUGUUGCAACCAACAAGAUCCGUAUUUUGCGACAAGGCAAUCGAUCAGUAACAUUAUAUGCUUCGCAAUUUCGACAACUUGCAACUGAUAUCAAGUGGAAUGAUGCCGCACUUGUGAGUCAAUUUCUCUACGGAUUACAAUAUGAGGUAAAGAAAUUGAUGCUUAAUUUACCUGAUCCUCAAACAUUGAGUCAAGCAAUUGACUUUGCUGUGAAGUGCGACAAUCGACUUUUUGAAUUUCGAUCCGAGAGUCGCACAAGUGGGCCUCAACGUUACUACAAUUCAAUGGCAACACCGACGUCUCCUCAACACAUACCUUCAGAAGUAGAGGAUAUGCAAAUUGAUGCGGUACGUUUCAAACCUCUUACUGAGCAAGAAAAGUCUCGUCGUCGACAAGAAGGAUUGUGCUUAUAUUGUGGAGAACCUAAGCACACUGCUCAACAUUGUCCAAAGAAGCGACGUAACUACAAAAUGAGGAGUACGGCUGUCAAAGAAGACAGUAUGUCGGAAAAUGAAUACGUCCAGCUACAAUAGGGACCGUGCGGCUGGAAUCUUGUACAACUUCUAAUGAAGGUCCUAUCCUCUCCUCAGAACCAUCUCCUUGUUUUAUAAUAGAUGUGCGUUUAGGACCUAAUAAUUACAAAGCCUCUG